AAACUUUCAACAACGGAUCUCUGGUUCUGGCAUCGAUGAAGAACGCAGCAAAAUGCGAUAAGUAAUGUGAAUUGCAGAAUUCAGCGAAUCAUCGAAUCUUUGAACGCACAUUGCGCCCCCCGGCAUUCCGGGGGGCRUGUCUGUCCGAGCGU
rnacentral:rRNA from 1 species